rnacentral:rRNA from 1 species
GUUUACAGGCCAUACCAGCCUGGGUACGCCCGAUCUCGUCUGAUCUCGGAAGCUAAGCAGGUCGGGCCUGGUUACUACUUGGAUGGGAGACCGCCUGGGAAUACCAGGUGCUGUAAGCU